rnacentral:rRNA from 1 species
UACGUAGGGGCCAAGCGUUGUCCGGAUUUAUUGGGCGUAAAGAGCUCGUAGGCGGUUCGGCAAGUCAGCUGUGAAAUCUCCACGCUCAACGUGGAGGGGUCAGCUGAUACUGCUGUGACUUGAGUCCGGUAGGGGAGUGUGGAAUUCCCGGUGUAGCGGUGAAAUGCGCAGAUAUCGGGAGGAACACCAGUAGCGAAGGCGGCACUCUGGGCCGGUACUGACGCUGAGGAGCGAAAGCGUGGGAGCAA